rnacentral:rRNA from 1 species
GAUGAACGCUGGCGGCGUGCCUAAUACAUGCAAGUCGAGCGGCAGCACGGUCUUCGGACUGGUGGCGAGCGGCGGACGGCAGAGUAACGCGUAGGAAUGUACCCCAAAGUGAGGAAUAACUGCCCGAAAGAGUAGCUAAUGCCGCAUGUGCCCUUCGGAGUAAAGCAUGAUGCGCUUUGGGAACAGCCUGCGUUCCAUUAGCUUGUUGGUGAGGUAAAGGGUCACCAAGGCGACGAUGGAAAGCUGGUCUGAGAGGAUGAUCAGCCUGACUGGGACUGAGACACGGCCCAGACUCCUACGGGAGGCAGCAGUGGGGAAUUUUCCACAAUGGGCGAAAGCCUGAUGGAGCAACGCCGCGUGUGUGAAGAAGGCCUUCGGGUUGUAAAGCACUUUUGGCCGGAAAGAAAUGGCUCUGGUUAAUACCUGGGGUCGACGACGGUACCGGAAGAAUAAGGACCGGCUAACCACGUGCCAGCCGCCGCCGUAA